ACUUACAUGGCUUCACUGCAUUCUCAGCUUUGUUACCUUAACUUAGAGAGAGUUCAUUGGAUUUUUCCAGGUUUUCAUCUCUCUGAUGCAGCCUAGAAAUUGCUUUCUAUUAGUAAGCCUGUACAACACUGGAGAGGCAAAUUUUUUUUAUUGUUGUUGUUGUUGUUUCUGAUACAGGUACAACUGAUUUAAUUCUACCCCAACCAUCAUGGUAGAAGGCAAUUUUAUUCACAGAAUAAGGUGACCGAAAGGAUCAAAGAACUUUCACAGUUGAAAUUUCAGAAUCAAUUGGGAAGAAGAAUCUUCUGAAACUUGCCAUGUAAGAAGUGACUUUCAACACCUGCCAGGAUUCUGAGUUCUCCCCAGCCAUGUGGAACUGAAAUUCCACUUAAAACUCUUUUUCUUCCCAGUCUCAGGUAUGUCUUUAUCAGCGGUGUGAAAACAGACUAAUACAGUAAAUUGAUACUGAGAGUGGGUAUUGCUGAAAGAUACUCAAAAAUGUGGAAGCAACUUUGGAACUGGGUAACAGGCAGAGAUUGGAAAGUUUGGAGGGCUCAGAAGAAGAGGGAAAAAUGUGGGAAAGUAUGAAACUUCAUAGAGACUUGUUGAAUGGCUUUGACAAAAAUGCUGAUAGUGAUAUGAACAAUAAGGUCCAGGCAGAAGUGGUCUCAGAUGGAGAUGAGAAAUUUGUUGGAAACUGGAGCAAAGGUGACUCUUGUUAUGUUUAGCAAAAAGACUGGUAGAAUUUUGCUCCUGCCCUAGAUAUUUGAGGAAUUUUGAAGUUGACAGAGAUGAUUUAGGGUAUCUGGCAGAAGAAAUGUCUAAGCAGCAAAGCAUUCAAAAGGUGACUUGGGUGCUGUUAAAAUCAUUACAUUUUAAAAGGGAAAAAGAGCACAAAAGCUCAGAAAAUUUGCAGCCUGAUGAUGCAGUAGAAAAAAAAAUUUUUUUGAGGAGAAAUUCAAGCCAGCUGGAGAAAUUUGCAUAAGUAGCAAGGGGCCCAAUGUUUAAUCCCCAAGACCAUGGGGAAAGUUUCUCCAGGCCAUGUCAGAGACCUUCAUGGCAGCCUCUCCCAUCACAUGCCUGGAGGCCCAGGAGGAAAGAGCGGUUUCAUGGGCCUGGCCCAGGGACUCCAUGCUGUGUGCAGCCUAGGGACUUGGUACCCUGUGUCCCAGCUGCUCCAGCCAUGGCUGAAAGAGGCCAACACAGAGCUUGGGAUUUGGCUUCAGAGGGUGGAAGUCCCAAGCCUUGGCAGCUUCCACAUGGUAUUGAGCCUGCAGGUGCACAGAAGUCAAGAAUUUAAGUUGGGCAACCUCCACCUAGAUUUCAGAAGAUGUAUGGAAAUGCCUAGAUGCCCAGGCAGUUUGCUGCAGGGGGAGGGCCCUCAUGGAGAACCUCUGCUAGGGCAGUGCAUGAGGAAAAUAUGAUGUUGGAGCCCCCACCCAGAGUCCCUACUGGGGAACUGCCUAGUGGAGCUAUGCUGUGAUAAGGGGGCCACCAUCCUCCAGAACCCAAAAUGACAGAUUCACUGACAGCUUGCACUGUGCACCUGAAAAAGCUGCAGAUACUCAAUGCCAGCCUUUGAAAGCAGCUGAGAGGGAGGCUGUACCCUGCAAAGCCACAGGAAUAGAGCUGCUCAAGACCAUGGGAACCCACCUCUUGUAUCAGCAUGACCUGGAUGUGAGACAUGGAGUCAAAGGAGACCAUUUUGGACAUUUUGGAGCUUUAAAAUUUGACUACACCACUGGAUUUCAGACUUGCAUGAGCCCUGUAACCCCUUUGUUUUCCCCAAUUUCUCCCAUUUGGAAUGGUUGUAUUUACCCAAUGUCUGUAACCCCAUUAUAUCUAGGAAGUAACUAGCUUGCUUUUGAUUUUACAGGCUUAUAGGCUGAAAGGACUUGCCUUGUCUCAGAUGAGACUUUGGACUGUGGACUUUCGGGUUAAUGCUGAAAUGAGUUAAGACUGUGGGGAACUGUUGGGAUGGUAUGAUUGGUUUUGAAAUUUGACAACAUGAGAUGUGGAGGGGCCAGGUGUGGAAUGAUAUGGUUUGGCUCUGUCCCCACACAAAUCUCAACUUGAAUUUUAUCUCCCAGAAUGUCCCUGUGUUGUGAGAGGGACGCAGGGGGAGGUAAUUGAAUCUUGGUGGUCAGUUUUUCCCGUGCUAUUCUUGUGAUAAUGAACAAGUCUCAUGAGAUCUGAUGAGUUUAUCAGGGGUUUCCGUUUUUACUUCUUCAUUUUCUUUUGCCACACCAUGUAAGAAGUGCAUUUUGCCUCUCACCAUAAUUCUGAGGCCUCCCCAGCCAUGUGGAAAUGUAAGUCCAAUUAAACCUCUUUUUCUUCCCAGUCUCAGCCAUUUCAAUUUGGUUAGAAGCCACCUCUGGGGAGCUAGUGCAAUAAGGAGAUUAAAACGUGUGUGAAGAGGAGGAAAAAGCUUUCCUUAGAUCUCAGAAGCCACUAAACCAACACUAAAACUAAACCUCAGUCAAUAGUUUACUUUUACAUUAAAAUGGGGAAUGAAGAACAAGGAAGAGGAAAACAGCAUUGACAACACAGAGGCCAAGAAAUGUCAAUAGGGCUUUUUGUUCUGAUAAAUAAUAUGAAGGUAUUAUUUUUAUUUCUUUGUAGAUAAUUAAAUUUUAUAAUUGAUCAAGAAAUAUCAUAUUCCCAUAUCUAUGUCCUAGAGAUAUGUAAAUGAGAAAUAAGUAUAUUUAGAGGGUGCUAAAAUCAUACAUAUUGAAAGCUGAGAAAGUAAAAAUUUUGUUACUGCUUCCUGUCCUCAUGUAUCUGCCUUUUGCCUAGAGUGCAGCUGUGCCUCUUGAAGAGUAAACAUCACAUUCACCUCAAAGAAUUUUCUGACAAUGCUUGUAGUCCCUAGGACAGAAUUUAUAUUUUUUCCUACU